rnacentral:rRNA from 1 species
GACGAAGGGGGCUAGCGUUGUUCGGAAUUACUGGGCGUAAAGCGCGUGUAGGCGGUUGCCCAAGUCGGGUGUGAAAUCUCCACGCUCAACGUGGAGGGGCCACCUGAUACUGCCAUGACUUGAGUCCGGUAGGGGAGUGUGGAAUUCCCGGUGUAGCGGUGAAAUGCGCAGAUAUCGGGAGGAACACCCGUAGCGAAGGCGGCACUCUGGGCCGUGACUGACGCUGAGGAGCGAAAGCGUGGGGAGCAAACAGG